AAUAUAUUUCAGAUAUAAUUUAUUUCCAGUAGAAAUUGCAACAUUAUGAGAUCUGUUUAUUAAUUGUCAUCUAGAAAAAAAAAAAUCAAACUCAAUUUGAAAGCAUCAAAACAAAAGAAAAAUAUGUUUUUUUCUGAAGUUGCUUGGCAUAUCCCAAUAUAUUUACUUUCUCAGUAGCCUGCUGUCAUCACUUCCUUUUUUUAAGAUUUUUUUUUCAUGGAAUCACACUUUUUUUUGUUUGUUUUAUAGCUCUCUUUUUCCUUGUUUCCCAGCUUCUCUAAGUUUCACUGAGUUGUAGAAGCAGAGUGAACAAAAAGAAUUGCCCUGUUCUGUCUCAGGACACUGUAUGCAGCUGGCAUUACAAAUGUCAAAGUGUAGCUUGGAAAAAAAUAUGUUUCUGUUUCCUUUAUAAAUACCAAGUAAGCUCACCGGUGGAACUAAAAUCUUUAAAAGGAAAGUGGAAUUUUCAACCAACCUUGUUCAAUUCCAAUGGACUUUUCAGUGCUUUUGUUAUAUUUGUGCCAGUAGGUUAAGCCAUAAACCUUGAUAACUGCUGUUAUUUAAAAGCAAAGCCUUCAUUAGGAAAUUAUGUAAAAUUAUGUAAAAGAAGAAAGUGACAAUAACUCUACAGAAAUAACAAAAUUUUAACUAAAGACUGUUUUCUCAAAUGUCCUUUUUCUUUACCAGACUUCCAAAUUUCUAAGUGGAAAAAAAAUUAGGCCUUAGGUGUCUGUUUGACAUCGGUGAAUUUUAUUGUGGGUAUUUAAUUAUAAAAACUUUUCUAUUGCCUAGAAAGGUUCUAAUGAUCAUAUUUUUUCUGUGGAAAGGGAAAAAAGAUAAGAUUUUUUAAGCAUGUAUUUCAAUGUUGCUUGCUAGUUAUUAAUGAAGUACAGUUAGGAAAUAUCUGGUAAAUGUGUACUUAAAGUAGAUGAAAUGAAACGUGAAAUAUAUAUGUUAAUGAGAGAGAAGGGUUUUUACCUUUCCGUUGUUGCAGUGCUUUGUGUCACCAGACUGCUCUGUUUUCCAACCCAGAACAAAGUAAAGCAACUGGUAAACAUGUCAACAGAAAACAGUAACUUAUAUUACACUUCUAAAACAAUACCAAUGUUUUCUAUUAUUUUGGACUUGGUUAUUUAUUUAUUUUUUUUAAUUUAUUUAUUGUUGUUGUUACAAUUUUGUGACUGAUCAGAGAAGAAUUUAGCAAAAGUAUUAGUCCAUAUGUAAUCUCAGUUAAUUUAUCGUUAAACAAGGUAGUAAUUUUAUGGGAAUUUUGCAUUGACACCAAAAGCAAUGUUGUCUCAAAAUACAGGAUUAUACAUAUUGUGCUGUAUGUACUUGAUAUGUACUCCAAAAUUAUGAAGAAAUCACGGUGAUUUAUUCAAAGUUUAAUUGUAUUUUGAUUUUGUCUUUUGUUUUAUAUAUUAUCUUUUGCUAUUAUAAUAUCUCUUCAGUCUUUAAUUUUCAGAAUGCCAAAACUAAAACAAAAGAAUGUACAUGAGCAUGGAAAUAACACUUGGUGAAUCUAUAUUUAUUGUUUCAUACUGCAAAUAUUUUUAUUAACAAUACUGUUAUAAUUCAGAAAUUUGCUUUUUUUAUAAACUAAAAUUACUUAUGACCUACAGAUAGAAAAAAAGGCAUGGCAUGUUGAUGUCAAAAGAGGAGGGGAGAGGAGAGGAUCCUCCAUAUUCUGUGAACUUUGCAGUAACAGUCAUAGGAACCCAUUUUUUGUUCCUUACAUGUGUGAUUAUGCUCAGUUGUUGAACUUUUUUGUUUGUUUGUUUGUUUUGUUCUUUUUUUUUUUUUUUAAUAUACAGUACAAACUUUUUGAGAAUGGAACAAUGGAACUGCCUUUAUCCCAGUUGUAACUAAACUUAAGACAGAACAUAACCUCUGGAUGAAUUUAAUUUUAGAAUACUUGCUGAUUAUAAAUGAGCAUAAGCAUAACAUAAAAUGUCUCACAUAUUAAAGGAAAAAAAAAAGUUUACAUUUCUUACUUUUACCCUGGAGAAGGCCUUUACUUUUAGGACCUUGCCCUUACACUAUCAUUUACACAUCACAUUUUACUGAGAGUGCAAGUAUUAUCACCCUGUAAGGUUACUUGCAUUUCCAUGCCCAUGUUGUAUUGUCAAGUGACAUUUAGCAGCAUUUACUUUUUUGGCUGCCAUUUCCUCAUCUUGCAUAAUACAUUUUUCUUACAUUAGAAGCUGAGGCAUAGGAAAAUUUUAAAGUUUGAGUGCACCUGUGGGAUGACAGCAUGAUAGACAUCUGUGAAAUAAAUGCAGACUUAUGGUGAGCAGGUUCAGCUGCAACCCCCUAAAAUGGCAUUUUAUAAUAUGGCAGGCUUAAAUGGUAGAGUGUUGAACAAUCACCGAAAAACAUUACAUCAUGUAAAACUGUAGUACAAGGGGGAAAAAAUGACAACAGUGUGCAGAACUGCAGCUGAUCCUGCUUGCCAUAUGGUAUGUCAUUCACAGUAAUAACACUUACAUUCCCUCAGUAAGUGCCCUUAAAUAUCAGGGAGUGAAUAAGGCAGUACACAGAUUGCAAAAGGAAUUUGUAAUCAUAUACAUUGUGAACUUUGUACUUUCAGGAAUCAUUUUACCCUUCCGUUAACAAAAUACCCUUUAAAAAUACAUCUUAGUACAUUCCCAAGGCUCAAUACUUUAAAAUCCACUUGUGCAAAUGGUUAAAAGCAAGCCCUCCCAAGUAAACAUGAAAAACAAAACAAAACAAAACAAAAAACUGUGAACAAAUAACUGCUAUCAUUCUCCCUUCCCCCUUCAGGAUACUGUGAUUUUCUCACCAAUAAAGUUUUCUUACAUUUAUAUAUUUUUUCAGUGUGUGCUGUUCUUUGUGAUCCUGAUGAAAAACCAGCUAACUGGAGUUGUUUGGAUGAAGAAUAACUUGCUUUUUAUCACAGAUAAGAAAACUGCUUAAUUGUUCAUUAUUUCUCACAAUGCAAAAUCUACAGAGCACUCAAUGCAAGUUUCAUGAAGCAACUUUGAAAUAAACAAAGGAAGUAUUUUGUCAUAUCACGUCCAUAAUUAAAUUGUGGAACUCAUUGCCACAAGAUGUUGUAGAAGCCAAAACUGUAAUUAGAUUCUUAAAAGGACUGAGGAUAGGCCCAUUGUCUAUAUUGAACACAGAAGUCUGGAGCCUUCAUUUCAGGAAAUCCCUCAGACUCUAGCUGCUGCACGAGCAUGUUAGAGAAGAGCUGUAGGUCUGUAGGCAUACCUGUUCCUCAUACUCACAUCUACUAAAGAAAGGAUGCUGGGGCAGAUGAAUCCAAUCUGCUAUGUUAUCCAAGUAUUUACAUUGGACUGAGACCAAUGUAAACUGAGUGCUGUUCAGACCCAGCACCGAUUUAUUCAGUGAUAUUCUGGGUUAUUCACUGGAUGCUGAAAUGUGGAAAAAAGAAAACAAAAAAAAAAAAAAGAAAAAAAAAAAGAAAAAAAUCCAGCUUACCAAGAUUUUAUUUUAUUUUUAUUUUUUUCCUGGCAAAACACAAAAGCAUGCAUAGUGUAAGGUAAACCCAAAUCAUUAUGUUAUUUAUUCUUCUUAGUAUCAGUGAUAGAUAUCUAUUGGAAUAGAUAGUGACUUGCUCAUCUCUAAAAACAUUCCCCCCCCAACAGGGGACAAAUUUAUGUCCCUUAUUUAUUCCAAUUUUGAUAUUGUUUACUGAUUCUAAUAUCUUCUUGUUCAUGUUCGUUUGUGUGCUGGAACCACCCAUGUUCUUUGGAAUCAUGACCAGAUGACUGGAAGCUUUUAGAUGCCCCACAUUCGGCAGCACAUUAUGCCUCAGCGGAGUGUCAGUGAGCUAGGACUCCAGGAUAUUAUCAUCUGUGGCUGUUGUCAAACGGAGGGGACCUGGAUGGUGUGAACUUGAAAUGAGACUGGGACAACAUAAAUUGAAAGGGAGAAUUGGAAGAAACACAGGUAGAUCUGGAACAAAGGAGCAUCAAAUGUAGAUGAAAACAUUGAACAAAAUGGUUCUGAAAAGUUACAUGCAAUGACUCUGCAAGUCCUGGGAGUAGUUCCACAGCAACUUUUCCAAAAAUCAAGAUACUUGGAUUCCCUUGUUAUGUCAGCCUGGAGGAUUCCUAUCUCUGUCUGUCAGAACAAGCUAAAUACCAGAGGAAGCCAGAUGAUAGAUUGGAAGGUAAGGGGAUGGGGUGGGGAGGUGUCACUUGAUAUUAAACCUGUUGUGUAUUGUGUGCUCAUGAAUAUAAGCAUAAUGGAGCAAAAACAGAAGUAAGGGUAAAGAAACUUGGAUAUAUAUCCUUAUUUCUAUCAUUCUAGGGGCUUUGCAGACAAGCUUGGCUUUUAGCUUCUGUUCUGUGGACUGCUUCAGCAUUCAAUCCACUGACAUCUAAUGUAAAAUUCAUACAGACCAGGUUUUAUAAUUACUGUCUCUCUGUUAAGCCUAUGCUCUGGCUUUUAAACUGUGGUAUCAGAUUUUCCCUUGCCCUGUUUCCUUCACUCAUGAUUCUUGUUCUCUUGGCUACAUGUUUGACAUAUCUCAGCAGCAGACGUGGUGGGUUCCCUUUUCUGUUUUGCAUCAUCCCAUGCUCUGUAAUCAGAUAAGUAUUUGCCUAACAGGUAAGCUCUGCCUAGAUAAAAGUGAUAUGAACUCCCUUCUCCAUUUUAUUCUCUUGCUGCUCUCAUCUCUUGACUCUGUGUUGUGGUUUGUAUUUUGUUUCAUUUUUACCCUGAAAUGGCUGUCAUUGCUAAGAAUUGCAAUUUGUACAAUGUUACAACCACUGAGAUGCAAAGAGAUGCAAAAGUGAGAAAUGUAGCCCAAAUUAAUCUAAUUUAUCUACCUAUCUAUAGAUAUCUAAAAUGAAAGACUUAAUUAAGACUGGAAUUGCCUUAGGUUUCUCUAUAGUUAGUACAGCAAAGUAGGCUUCUCCAGAGACAACUUCACUCUCUGGUGAGAGUGAGAGAGUCUCCAGAGAGAUUCCAUAGUCAAUUUAGAUUAUUAAAUCAGGUUUUAAAGUUACAAAACUGCAGAAGUUAGGUUGGAAGAUUGAUAUAAAUUUUGAUCUAGGUGAGAUUAAUUCCACACAUAAAAAAUGAAUAAAUAAAUCACUAUUUCUUGCUAUUUGUGGUAUUGGUAGAUCUGUAUAGAAAUGCCUGACUUACAUGGGUUUCUUCAAGCUCAUUGGUGUUAUCUGGGUAUCAAUGAAUUUCUUUCCCCAUCUUAGUUUUGGUCUUAGUGUACAGACUGCCAGUUGUGUAUAAAUGUUUUUUUCUCUUCUGACCCAAGCACUUGCCUCUCAAGAUAAAUCCAAUCAAACAAUGGAGCAUGUUUUCCAACAAAUGUUUCCAGUAGGAAUGCUGAAAUAUAGAAUCUCAUACAGAUGAGAGGGGUUUUGAUCCCCCUGACCCGAGGUGUCCUUCCUACCAGGCUUGUGACUUUCCUGCACUCUUCCAUGUCCUCGAACACCUG